rnacentral:rRNA from 1 species
GAAUAUUGGACAAUGGGCGCCAGCCUGAUCCAGCCAUACCGCGUGGGUGAAGAAGGCCUUCCGGUUGUAAAGCCCUUUUGUUGGGACAGAAAAGCCGUCGAUUACUUCUCGGUUGUUCUGACGGUACCCAACGAAUACGCAACGGCCAACUUCGUUCCAGCAGCCGCGGUAAUACGAAGGGUGCAAGCGUUACUCGGAAUUACUGGGCGUAAAGCGUGCGUAGGUGGGUGUUUAAGUCUGUUGUGAAAGCCCUGGGCUCAACCUGGGAAUUGCAGUGGAUACUGGGCGACUAGAGUGUGGUAGAGGGUAGUGGAAUUCCCGGUGUAGCAGUGAAAUGCGUAGAGAUCGGGAGGAACAUCCAUGGCGAAGGCAGCUACCUGGACCAACACUGACACUGAGGCACGAAAGCGUGGGGAGCAAACA